AUAUGUGAAAAAGCAAAGAGGGCAGAAUAUAUAAUUCAUGGAGUAUAGAAUUAGUGUGCUAUGAGUUAUUCAAAUGGACAAAGAGGAACUGAGAAACUUGACAGAAUAAAAGAAUGGUUUAUGUUGAAAACAAAUUACAUCAAUACAGACUAGUUGGAACAAGUUUUCUUCAGCCAUAAAAUUAAUAUGUACUAUGUAUAUAUAUUUAUAUGGGUAAAUAAUAAUUUUAGGCUGCAUAUUGUCCAAACCAAGGAAAAUAAUACUCACUUAUACUUUUCACAUGGACUAUAAGUUGAAGGGAAAAUGAAUAUAUUUUAGAACAUCAAAAAAUGCAAGGAGAAUAGUAAAACCAUGUUACUUGGAGAGCAAUUGGGGCAUUGAAGUUGGUUAAUAUGGGAAAGAGAAAACCAACAUGAAAUGCAAACAUAUUCUUUAAUGUUUCUUCCAAAGGGCCAAAAUAUGAACAAGGUAUUUCCUUCAGUUCCUCUGCUCCACUGUGCUCAGAAUAAGGACAUGAUGGUCUAUCCAUAUUAAUCACAUUCUUAUCUUCUCUCCUCACUAAUGUAUCCUGAGUCAAGUGUCCAGCCCUGGCCCAUUCGAUCACCUCCAGGAAUGUGGAAUUUCAUGGCACAGACUUGGAUGUUGGCUCCUAUCUUGACGGGUCCAUCCUGCAUGGAAACAUGCAUGCUUUUCAUCUCUCCUGACUGUAAUUUAAGAGUAAACAACCACUACUACACCAUCUGCAGUAGCAGUCCAAUGUCAUUCUCAUGGAGCCAACAGAUAUUGUAAUAGCACUGCUUAAGAACCAGAAAACACCAAUGAUGCACUUCUCUCUUUGAGGUAAGAAAAGUUUUUUUUUUCAUGAAAGAAUAUCUUAGAAAGUAAAGCAUGCAUAGAAUUUUCAU
rnacentral:lncRNA from 1 species